rfam:Bombyx mori DNA, contig: Bm_scaf72_contig31267, strain: p50T/Dazao, build 2, whole genome shotgun sequence.
UUAACUAAAAUUUGUGUGAGGUCAGAACGUUUACCUACGUUUGCCGCUAGGGGCGCUGUUCCAACUGCAUACAAAUUUGACUUA